rnacentral:rRNA from 1 species
CCUACGGGUGGCAGCAGUGAGGAAUAUUGGUCAAUGGACGAGAGUCUGAACCAGCCAAGUAGCGUGAAGGAUGACUGCCCUAUGGGUUGUAAACUUCUUUUAUAAAGGAAUAAAACGAGGCACGUGUGCCUUUUUGCAUGUACUUUAUGAAUAAGGAUCGGCUAACUCCGUGCCAGCAGCCGCGGUAAUACGGAGGAUCCGAGCGUUAUCCGGUUUUAUUGGGUUUAAAGGGAGCGUAGAUGGGUUGUUAAGUCAGUUGUGAAAGUUUGCGGCUCAACCGUAAAAUUGCAAUUGAUACUGGCAGUCGUGAGUACAGUUGAGGUAGGCGGAAUUCGUGGUGUAGCGGUGAAAUGCUUAGAUAUCACGAAGAACCCCGAUUGCGAAGGCAGCUUACUAAACUGUGACUGACAUUGAUGCUCGAAAGUGUGGGUAUCAAACAGGAUUAGAUACCCUGGUAGUC